GGCCAGGAGGUUGUGUCAGGCAACCAUUCUCCCGACCGAUCGGGAGCUUUUGAGGAGUCGGCCGGUGAUCGAGAUGCUCUCUUCCUUUUACCCGACCAUGAUUCAGGUGAGCUCUCCUUCUUCUUCUUUCUUUAUUAUUAUUUUUGUCAUUUCAUUUUUUUGACGACCAGCCUUCUACUUGCAGCUGAACUACAAUAUG
rnacentral:lncRNA from 1 species